CACGUAGGGGGCAAGCGUUGUCCGGAUUUAUUGGGCGUAAAGAGCUCGUAGGCGGCUCAGUAAGUCAGGUGUGAAACCUCCAGGCUCAACCUGGAGACGCCACCUGAUACUGCUGUGGCUUGAGUCCGGUAGGGGAGUGGGGAAUUCCUGGUGUAGCGGUGGAAUGCGCAGAUAUCAGGAGGAACACCGGUGGCGAAGGCGCCACUCUGGGCCGGUACUGACGCUGAGGAGCGAAAGCGUGGGGAGCGAACAGG
rnacentral:rRNA from 1 species